rnacentral:rRNA from 1 species
CCUACGGGUGGCAGCAGUGGGGAAUAUUGGGCAAUGGGCGCAAGCCUGACCCAGCAACGCCGCGUGAAGGAAGAAGGCUUUCGGGUUGUAAACUUCUUUUGUCAGGGAAGAGUAGAAGACGGUACCUGACGAAUUAGCCCCGGCUAACUAAGUGCCAGCAGGCGCGGUAAAACGUAGGUGGCAAGCGUUUUCCGGAUUUACUGGGGGUAAAGGGCGUGUAGGCGGGUUGACAAGUCAGAUGUGAAAUCCUGCGGCUUAACCGCAGAACUGCAUUUGAAACUGUUGAUCUUGAGUACAGGAGAGGCAGAUGGAAUUCCUAGUGUAGCGGUGGAAUGCGUAGAUAUUAGGAGGAACACCAGUGGCGAAGGCGAUCUGCUGGACAGCAACUGACGGUGAGGCGCGAAAGCGUGGGGAGCAAACAGGAUUAGAUGCCCGAGUAGUC